rnacentral:rRNA from 1 species
UGGGGAAUAUUGGACAAUGGGCGAAAGCCUGAUCCAGCCAUGCCGCGUGAGUGACGAAGGCCUUAGGGUUGUAAAACUCUUUCGUCGGGGACGAUAAUGACGGUACCCGAAGAAGAAGCUCCGGCUAACUUCGUGCCAGCAGCCGCGGUAAUACGAAGGGAGCUAGCGUUGUUCGGAAUCACUGGGCGUAAAGCGCACGUAGGCGGAUAGUUAAGUCAGGGGUGAAAUCCUGGGGCUCAACCCCAGAACUGCCCUUGAUACUGGCUGUCUCGAGGUCGAGAGAGGUUGGUGGAAUUCCUGGUGUAGCGGUGAAAUGCGCAGAUAUCAGGAGGAACACCAACGGCGAAGGCAGCACUCUGGGCCGGUACUGACGCUGAGGCACGAAAGCGUGGGGAGCAAACAGGAUUAGAUACCCAAGUAGUCCCUGAGCGGGCUGGCAAGGCGCAU